rnacentral:rRNA from 1 species
AGUGAACGCUGGCGGUAGGCCUAACACAUGCAAGUCGAACGGCAGCACAGUAAGAGCUUGCUCUUACGGGUGGCGAGUGGCGGACGAGUGAGGAAUACAUCGGAAUCUACUUUUUCGUGGGGGAUAACGUAGGGAAACUUACGCUAAUACCGCAUACGACCUACGGGUGAAAGCAGGGGAUCUUCGGACCUUGCGCGAUUGAAUGAGCCGAUGUCGGAUUAGCUAGUUGGCGGGGUAAAGGCCCACCAAGGCGACGAUCCGUAGCUGGUCUGAGAGGAUGAUCAGCCACACUGGAACUGAGACACGGUCCAGACUCCUACGGGAGGCAGCAGUGGGGAAUAUUAGACAAUGGGCGCAAGCCUGAUCCAGCCAUACCGCGUGGGUGAAGAAGGCCUUCGGGUUGUAAAGCCCUUUUGUUGGGAAAGAAAAGCAGCAGGUUAAUACCCCGCUGUUCUGACGGUACCCAAAGAAUAAGCACCGGCUAACUUCGUG